rnacentral:rRNA from 1 species
AAGUAAUGUAUUUUUUAAUAUUAGAGUAGUAUUAGUUAAGAUCUUGAAACUCAAAAAAUUUGGCGGUAUUUUAGUCUAUUCAGAGGAACCUGUAAUAUAAUUGAUAUUCCACGAUGGACCUUACUUAAUUUUGUUAAACAAUUUGUAUACCGUCGUUAUUUGAAGAUUUUAUAAGAAUAAUAAUUUUCAUAAUUUUUUAUUAAAAAAUAAAUCAGAUCAAGGUGCAGUUUAUAAUUAAGUAAUAUAUGGGUUACAAUAAAUUUAUUUAUAUGAAUUAAAUUAUGAAAUUAAUUUAUGAAGGUGGAUUUGAUAGUAAAUUUUUAAAGAU